rnacentral:tRNA from 1 species
UCCCUGAUAGUUCAGUUGGUAAAGAAUCUGCCUUCAAUGCAGGAGACCUUGGUUCAAUUCCUGGGUGGGGAA